rnacentral:rRNA from 1 species
GACGAACGCUGGCGGCGUGCUUAACACAUGCAAGUCGAACGGAAAGGCCCUGCUUUUGUGGGGUGCUCGAGUGGCGAACGGGUGAGUAACACGUGAGUAACCUGCCCUUGACUUUGGGAUAACUUCAGGAAACUGGGGCUAAUACCGGAUAGGAGCUCCUGCUGCAUGGUGGGGGUUGGAAAGUUUCGGCGGUUGGGGAUGGACUCGCGGCUUAUCAGCUUGUUGGUGGGGUAGUGGCUUACCAAGGCUUUGACGGGUAGCCGGCCUGAGAGGGUGACCGGCGAAAUUGGGACUGAGAUACGGAGCAGAAUGGUACGGGAGGCAGCAGUGGGGAAUAUUGCAAAAUGGGAGGAAGCCUGAUGCAGAAACGCCGCGUGCGGGAUGAAGGCCUUCGGGUUGUAAACAGAAUUCGCAUAUGACGAAGCGUGAGUGACGGUAAUGGGUAAAGAAGCACCGGCUAACUACGUG